AGCAGCCGCGGUAAUUCCAGCUCCAAUAGCGUAUAUUAAAGUUGUUGCAGUUAAAAAGCUCGUAGUUGAAUUUCGGGAUCAAUAUGUCGGUCGUGCCUUGGUACGUACUGGUAUCAUUGGUUUCUCCUUUCUGACGAACCAUGAUGUCAUUAAUUUGGUGUUAUGGGAAGUUAGGACUGUUACUUUGAAAAAAUUAGAGUGUUUAAAGCAGGCUUUAGCUUGAAUACAUUAGCAUGGAAUAAUGAAAUAGGACGUUUGAUUCUAUUUUGUUGGUUUCUAGGAUUGACGUAAUGAUUAAUAGGGAUAGUUGGGGGCAUUAGUAUUCAAUUGUCAGAGGUGAAAUUCUUGGAUUUAUUGAAGACUAACUACUGCGAAAGCAUUUGCCAAGGAUGUUUUCAUUAAUCAAGAACGAAAGUUAGGGGAUCGAAGACGAUCAGAUACCGUCGUAGUCUUAACCAUAAACUAUGCCGACUAGGGAUCGGAUGAUGUUAAUUUUUAAUGACUCAUUCGGCGCCUUACG
rnacentral:rRNA from 1 species